AAGGUCGCGCCUUCCCCUGAGCCGUAGAAAUGGGGCUUCGGUGACGUCACAGGCGCGGGUGUUCGGCAACGUAGCCGGGGCGGUAUAGUGCCUCGAGCUGGGCAGUCUUCUCCUUAGAGGGGACCCUGGUAACAGCGACCUCCCCGCCAGGUCCUGUGUGUUGCUGGCUGGAGAAGGGUAGCUGAAAAACUCAGACCGAGCACAGUGUUUAUGUCAGUCAAAAAUAGAAAACUAUCUGCGGGCGCGGCUGAGGCGGGAGGAUCCCUUCAGGCCAAGAGCAGCCUAGCAGUGUGGCGCGACCCCAUCUCUGUAGUCCUACCUCAGUCCCCCAGCUACUUGAACCCCAAGGUUCAAGGCUCCAAUGAGCUAUGAUCCCACCACAGCAUUCCAGCCUGCGAGACUGAGAUGAUGAUUAUUCCCCACCUUCUAAGAGACCAAAGACCAAUGAGACACCACAGCCACCAGUCCCGUAACCUGCCAAUGCUGGGCAACAGAAAGUGAGGGAGUUCAACUCUGGCCCUCACAUUCCAGUGGAGGAGACGAAACUCAUCUGCCUCUGUCCCUCUGGGCGCACCUCAUGCCAGGUGCAUCUGUGGACCUGGGCCAUGCUCCUGGGCUUCCAAAGUUGGAGAAAGCUGUCAGGCUCAGUUCUGAAGGCCAGAAUUCUACAGUAAGUCCCACUGAGUCAAGGUGGGAGCAGGGUCGAUGCCUUCCGAGGCUCUGCAGGAGAAUCCAUUUCCUGGCCCUGGAGCUAGCAUGCACUCCUCAGCUUGUGCUUCCUGUCUCAAAUGACUGGAGUUUCCCACUAUACCUCCCUCCGCUCUCCAUCACCUGCUCUGCUCUUAUAAGG